rnacentral:tRNA from 1 species
AUCUUUUUAGUAUAACUAUUAUAUUUGACUUCCAAUCAAAAGAUCUUUUAAUUAAGAAAAGAUA